rnacentral:rRNA from 1 species
CCAGACAUACCACCCUGAAUGUGCCUGAUCUUUUCUGAUCUCAGAAGCUAAGCAGGUUUGGCCUGGUUAGUACUUAGAUAGGAGAGAGGUAGUUUUCUGAU